UACGUAGGGUGCAAGCGUUAAUCGGAAUUACUGGGCGUAAAGCGUGCGCAGGCGGUGAUGUAAGACAGAUGUGAAAUCCCCGGGCUCAACCCGGGAACUGCGUCCGAUACUGGAAGGCUUGAAUCCGGGAGAGGGAUGCGGAAUUCCAGGUGUAGCGGUGAAAUGCGUAGAUAUCUGGAGGAACACCGGUGGCGAAGGCGGCAUCCUGGACCGGCAUUGACGCUGAGGCGCGAAAGCCAGGGGAGCAAACGGG
rnacentral:rRNA from 1 species